rfam:Gossypium raimondii Chr08_contig_1279, whole genome shotgun sequence.
AUAGGUAAGAGAGAGCUUUCUUCAGUCCACUCAUGGGAUGGGGAUGGGGUUUAAUUAGCUGCCGACUCAUUCAUCCAAAUACUGUGUUACAAAACCCAGUAAAUGAGUGAAUGAUGCGGGAGACAAAUUGAAUCCUAAUCUUCCUGUGCUUGGACUGAAGGGAGCUCCCUCCCUCCUUUGC